AGAGUUUGAUCCUGGCUCAGAAUCAACGCUGGCGGCGCGCUUAACACAUGCAAGUCGAGCGAGAAAGUGGGGCAACCCAUGAGUACAGCGGCGUACGGGUGAGUAACACGUGGGUAAUCUACCUCUUAGUGGGGAAUAACCCUGGGAAACCGGGGCUAAUACCGCAUAAGCCUGAGAAGGGAAAGCAGGAAUGCGCUGAGAGAGGAGCCCGCGGCCGAUUAGCUAGUUGGUGAGGUAACGGCUCACCAAGGCGAUGAUCGGUAGCCGGCCUGAGAGGGCACACGGCCACACUGGCACUGGGACACGGGCCAGACUCCUACGGGAGGCAGCAGUGGGGAAUCUUGCACAAUGGAGGCAACUCUGAUGCAGCGACGCCGCGUGAGCGAUGAAGCCCUUCGGGGUGUAAAGCUCUUUCGGCAGGGACGAUGAUGACGGUACCUGCAGAAGAAGCUGCGGCUAACUACGUGCCAGCAGCCGCGGUAAUACGUAGGCAGCGAGCGUUGUUCGGAAUUACUGGGCGUAAAGAGUGUGUAGGCGGUGGUCUAAGUUCGGUGUGAAAUCUCCCGGCUUAACUGGGAGGGUGCGCCGGAAACUGGAUUGCUGGAGCGUGGGAGAGGAAAGCGGAAUUCCUGGUGUAGCGGUGAAAUGCGUAGAUAUCAGGAGGAACACCCGCGGUGUAGACGGCUUUCUGGACCAUAGCUGACGCUGAGACACGAAAGCGUGGGUAGCAAACAGGAUUAGAUACCCCCGUAGUCC
rnacentral:rRNA from 1 species